AUCUCUUCUUGGCCUUUUGGCUAAGAUCAAGUGUAGAAAUAGAAGGAUUUGGAUAUAUUUUUGUUAUUAAUCAUA
rnacentral:snRNA from 1 species